AGGAUCACUGAGGACUCCCCCUCCAUGCGUGACAUCUUUGAGAAAUUUCCACGCUUUCUGGAGAUGCCAAGUUUGACUGGAACCAACUUUGCAUCCCUCGGCACUGACACUGAGAAGGUUUCAAGGACCCCACUACUAGGAGGCGAGAGUUUGACACGGCAGUGUCAUCACUGCCAUGGAUGACAAUGUAACCAUUCCUGUUGCUGAUUGCCUGACUUGCGCAGUGACAAGCUUUUCAUGCUCUACUGGGUGUGUAACUUGGCAUAUCCACCACAGUUUAACUCUGUUUUUGCCUCUUUUGAAUAUGUGUACGAUAUAACCAUCUCAACCAAAAAGUGGGCCAAGGUACUGGAACAUUUCUCACUUCAAGUUGCUCUGUAGUCACUGGACAUUUUUUAAAACAUCUACGCAAACACCACCACUCCACACCAUGUGUAUUUUAAUUACUUCUGAUUCCACUGACAUGCAGACUACAUCCUAUGCAGAUUCAGGUAAUUUACCUGGUACUGGAGAAACAGCAUUGUAUGCCAUUCUAAGUGAUACUUGCCUCCUUGUUUUGCAAAAAUGUACUGUUCUUUGAAUAUAACUUAAAGUAAGAUCAUGUUGACUCUGAGGUUUUCUCCGGUUGUCAAGCACAACCUUAACGUUUUGUAAGUAAGUAAUAGUCACAGGAUAUGCAUGCAUUUGUAAUUUGAAUUUUCGUCGAAAACGGCUCACCAAGCAUAAAAUGUUACCUCUGCUUUUGAUUUUUCUUUUUUUUAAAAUGUCCCUUAAUACCAGCCUGUCUUUUUGUUGUGUCCACACAACUUUACCAUCAUCAGUGUUGGGAAGGAACAGAUUGCUGUAAGUUACUGUAUCCCCAUCCUUUCAGAUCAGUGCUUUAAAGCCUUUUGAAAUUAAAUUGUUAAUAAACUUUGUGAAAACAAA